GCCACAGGCCGGCCCCUCUUCCCAGGCUCCACAGUGGAAGAACAGCUGCACUUCAUCUUCCGCAUUUUGGGAACCCCAACUGAGGACACAUGGCCAGGUAUCCUGUCCAAUGAAGAGUUUAGAACAUACAACUACCCCAAGUACCGAGCUGAGGCCCUUCUGAGCCAUGCACCCCGGUGAGGCUGGUGGGUAGGUGGGCAUUAGGGGCCAGAGUGUCUGAACUCAGUAUAAAGCACAUCCCCUUACCUUUGUGUUAGACUUGAUAGCGAUGGAGCUGACCUCCUCACCAAGCUGCUGCAGUUUGAGGGUCGCAAUCGGAUCUCUGCUGAGGAUGCCAUGAAACAUCCAUUCUUUCUCAGCUUGGGGGAGCGGAUCCACAAACUUCCUGACACUACUUCCAUAUUUGCACUAAAGGAGGUACAGCUACAAAAGGAGGCCAACAUUCGGUCCACUUCUAUGCCUGACUCAGGCAGGCCAGCUUUCCGUGUGGUGGAUACCGAGUUCUAAGCCAAGUUUUAAGCCACAGACCAAGGCCCCAGCAGGCAGCGGCUGGAGGGAUGCCACACCCCUCACAGGACAGCCCCCAUCUGCAAUCCUCCCUGCUUGUUGCCUGCUUACCUGCCUGAGCCACACUCCCCUGCCAACUUGUCCCCUGCCACCUGUCCAAACACCGAACUACUGGCCUGGCCUGUUAACCCAACCACUGGCCUGUCUGCUGGGUGCUAACAAAGCUCUCACCACU
rnacentral:lncRNA from 1 species